UCACCCACUCCCCCCUCCCCCAGAUCCAUCCUCCUCUCCCGCAACCCCAAACCCGGCCCCGCCGCCGAUCUCCACUCCCACAAACCCAGCCCCAGCCCCGCCGGCGACCUCCUCCCCCACUCCUCGACUGCCCUGGCGACAUCUUGUACUUCAUACCCGCCGGCGACCUCCGCCUUCCACCCCACCCUCUCCUUCUCUCCACGCCGAAACCCUAGAUCGCCGCCAUGGCCACCUCUCUCCAGCAUCCCCUCUCUCUCUCCCGUCGGCGACCACAACCAUGGCCUCCACCUCCCCUUCCCUCCCUGGCUGGAGAUCCACUCAAUUCCUCUCCCUCCCCCGAUUCCUCCCCAAUCCCGCCGCUGGCCGACUACCACCCCCACCGGCGACCUCCCUCCCUCCCUCCUGAGAUGUACGGAUGUGGCGAGGCAGAUUGCCGGAUCCCCGCCGCGCCGGACCUGUGAGAUCCAGCUCCUUGCCGAUCCCAUGGCCUCCACGGCGGCGUGAGUCCUCCUCCUCGUUCGCGUUGUCACCUCCUCCCUCGCGGGGCGCACGGACGCCCUUCGGUCACUGGGCGUCGGCGACGAGGCGUGGGCCGGGGCCACCGCGCAGGGGGACGACGCCGUGGACCUCAACCCCACCAGCUUGGACGCCUUCCUCACGGCCUCGCGGGAGCAGUUCACCGUCGUCGAGUUCUUCGCCCACUGGUUAGUCGCUCUCCGGCUUGAUUCGCCCACCGGGACCAUUUGACGGAAGCGUCCAAGUCGAGCCAGGGGAACGAGCCUAACUGGUUGGUGUCUCCACAUGUCGGCUGGUGCCCGUGGUGGAUGCAGACAAAUGGAAGGACUCGUAUGCAACCCAGCAUGCUGGGUAUCUUCUAAUACGUUUCAUGAUCAUUCAGAGUUCAGAGGUUCUUGUUCUUCCUCGACCUCCAUGGGGCGCGCGAGCCGGCAGCCGGCCAUCUCCAGUGAGCCCGACCACGGCGACUGAUGCCGAAGGCCGCGGGUGAUGCCAAGCUACUGAUCCAGUCCCUCACCAAGGCCUACGCCACCACACUGAUGAACCUCAAGGCAAUUUUCGUUUUCUUUCCCUAGCAGUAUGUUUUUCGUCUGCCACUCGUGACUGCCGGGUUAAUGAUGUACUUCUCGUGCCCCACCAAGUACAGCAGCAUCAGGUUAAUUUGUAGAAGUGAGGUUACUCGAUUUUUUUCUAUGCCAUGGUACAAUUAUGAUUCGAAUUGUAGCCAGUUAACACGAGCUUGUUUGGCCCAAUAUUAGAAAUGUUUUUAUAAUAUUUUACCA